rnacentral:rRNA from 1 species
GACGUAGGGCGCGAGCGUGUCCGGAUUUAUUGGGCGUAAAGAGCUCGUAGGCGGCUUGUCGCGUCGUCCGUGAAAACCCGCAGCUCAACUGUGGGCUUGCAGCUGAUACGGGCAGGCUUGAGUUCGGUAGGGGAGACUGGAAUUCCAGGUGUAGCGGUGAAAUGCGUAGAUAUCUGGAGGAACACCGGUGGCGAAGGCGGCAUCCUGGACCGGUAUUGACGCUGAGGCGCGAAAGCCAGGGGAGCAAACGAG